CGACGCGUUUUAGGCAUGCAAGUCGAACGGUAACAGGUCCUUCGGGGCGCUGACGAGUGGCGGACGGGUGAGUAACACGUAGGUGAUCUACCUAAAAGUUGGGGACAACCUGUGGAAACAUAGGCUAAUACCGAAUACCUUCAUUCAUCGUGUUGAAUGAAGAAAGGUGCUUUACGGCAUCGCUUUUAGAUGAGCCUGCGGCUGAUUAGCUUGUUGGCGGGGUAAUGGCCCACCAAGGCGGCGAUCAGUAGCCGGCCUGAGAGGGUGAACGGCCACAUUGGGACUGAGACACGGCCCAAACUCCUACGGGAGGCAGCAGCUAAGAAUCUUCCGCAAUGGACGAAAGUCUGACGGAGCGACGUCGCGUGGGUGAUGAAGGCCGAGAGGUUGUAAAGCCUUUUUAUAGGUGAGGAAUAAGGUCUGCAGGAAAUGGCAGGCUGAUGACGUUAACCUAUGAAUAAGCCCCGGCUAAUUACGUGCCAGCAGCCGCGGUAAUACGUAUGGGGCAAGCGGUGUUCGGAAUUAUUGGGCGUAAAGGGCACGCAGGCGGGUGUGUAAGUCUGGUGUGAAAUCUGACAGCUUAACUGUCAAAUUGCACUGGAAACUGCACAUCUUGAAUUGCACAGGGGAAACUGGAAUUUCUAGUGUAGGGGUGGAAUCUGUAGAUAUUAGAAAGAACAUCGGUGGCGAAGGCGAGUUUCUAUGUGACAAUUGACGCUGAGGUGCGAAAGCGUGGGGAGCAAACAGGCUUAGAUACCCUGGUAGUCCACGCCGUAAACGUUGUACACUAGGUAUUGGGAUUCAAGUCUCAGUGUCGAAGCUAACGCAUUAAGUGUACCGCCUGGGGAGUAUGCCGGCAACGGUGAAACU
rnacentral:rRNA from 1 species